UUGGGACUUUAUCUCUACAGUUAUGCCGUAACCCAGAUAGCUGCAGUAAACGAAUCCCAGAUAUCAAAUCCACGUUCUUUUGCAGAGUGGAAUGGUCAAGAUUGGCAUAAUCGCUUUUCUAGCUCCAUGUCUCAUCCCAUUUUGAAAGCGUGGGAAAUUC
rnacentral:snoRNA from 1 species